rnacentral:rRNA from 1 species
UACGUAGGGCGCAAGCGUUAUCCGGAAUUAUUGGGCGUAAAGAGCUCGUAGGCGGUUUGUCGCGUCUGCCGUGAAAGUCCGGGGCUCAACUCCGGAUCUGCGGUGGGUACGGGGCAGACUAGAGUGAUGUAGGGGAGACUGGAAUUCCUGGUGUAGCGGUGAAAUGCGCAGAUAUCAGGAGGAACACCGAUGGCGAAGGCAGGUCUCUGGGCAUUAACUGACGCUGAGGAGCGAAAGCAUGGGGGAGCGAACGGG